GGCAUGCUUGUUGUACAGGUCCC
rnacentral:piRNA from 1 species